rnacentral:rRNA from 1 species
GAUGAACGCUGGCGGCGUGCCUAAUACAUGCAAGUCGAGCGAACGGGCGAGAAGCUUGCUUUUCUGAUGUUAGCGGCGGAAGGGAGAGUAACACGUGGAUAACUUACCUAUAAGACUGGGAUAACUUCGGGAAACCGGAGCUAAUACCUGAUAAUAUUUUUAACCGCAUGGUUCAAAAGUGAAAGACGGUCUUGCUGGCACUUAUAGAUGGAUCCGCGCUGCAUUAGAUAGUUGGUAAGGUAAGGGCUUACCAAGGCAACGAUGCAUAGCCGACCCGGGCGAGUGGUCGCCCACACGAGAACGGAGACAGGGUCAAGGCUCCUACGGGAGGCAGCAGUAGGGAAUGUGACGCAGUGGGCGAGAGCCUUGCGCAGCAGCCGCAAGUGAGUUGCAACGGUCUUCCGAUCGUAAAGCCCUGUUAUUAGGGAAGAACAUAUGUGAGAGUAACUGUACACAUAUUGACGGUACCUACACAGAAAGCAACGGCUAACUACGUG